GCGAGCGCGCGGGCUGCCUGCGGAGCGCCUGGAGGGGAUUGGAGGCUACAGGCGGCACUGCUCUCUCCCGUGAAGAGGUGCGCACACGCGAAGUGCUCCUGGUGCUGCGGGUGCUACUGUGUGUGGCAGAGGGCAGAGGAAGGAGGCGGCUGCGCCAGGGGAGAGGCCAAGUACUGGCUGGUUUGCUGCUUGUGCGGCUGGCUUGCUGCUGCUGGAGAAAGACUGAGAACAGUCUGCAGUUGUUGCUGCUUGCAAGUGCUGCUGCUGACUCUGUUGCUGCUGGUGGUGUACUACAGUGGAGUUAGCAGAGAAGAGGAUGUAAGAGCUCCUGGAUUGAUUUGGUGCUGCUGUGUGAGGGGCUGCUAGAUAGCGUACUGAGGAAGAAGGAAAGUUCUUGCCUGCUGUGAUUGAGGCAAGACAUGGGAGAAAAUCAGGGACUCGAGAAGGCAAUUGAAAAAUUGGCUGAGCUCCUAACAGCCAAGGUAGGAGCUGCAGCAUCUCUAAAUAAUGCAAUUGUUCCUCACAUUGAGCCAAUUCAGAAAAUUGACUUGAUGCCAAAUGAAAUUAAGCUGGAAGGUGUUAAGAAUUAUUUGAGCUGGUCAAGAAGGGCGCUACUCAUCUUGAGGACUAAAGGGCUUGAGGGCUUUGUCAGUGGUGAGGCAGAGGAGCCAGGAGACAAGAAAACUUCAGAAUGGAGGACAUGGAGCAGUACCAACUCUUUGAUAGUGGCAUGGUUGUUGAACUCCUUGUCUCCAACCAUUGCUGCAACUGUUGAGACUAUCUCAACUGCUACUGAGGUAUGGAAAACCCUCUCAAAACUAUACUCAGGUGAAGGGAAUGUGAUGUUAAUAGCUGAAACAGAGGAGAGAGUUGGUGAACUCAGACAAGGGGAAAAUUCUGUGAUGGAGUAUGUUGCUGAACUGCAGCGUUUGUGGGCUGAUUUAGAUCACUAUGAUCCUCUGGAUUUGCCACAUGCAGAUUGCAUAGCAGCUGCUAGAAAAUGGAUUGAAUGCAGACGAGUGAUGCAGUUUCUCAAAGGAUUGAACUCUGACUUUGUGGCGAGACGUGCUACUUUAUUUCAUCAACCUACUCUACCUGCCUUAGAGGAUGCCAUAGCAGCAAUGGCAUAGGAGGAGGUCCGAUUAAAGUUGAUGAAGAAUAAUACAACGACUCCAUCUCAUCCAGCCUUCAUAGCAACCGACUAUAAGAGCAGAGAGUGCUUCAACUGCGGUGAGAAGGGUCAUUUGAUUCGUUCUUGCACGGCUCCACGUAGGAACAUGCGUGGAAGGGGGAGAGGAUAUAACCGAGGUGGAUUAAGGGGAGGCCGAGGCCGGGGAUACUCUGGUGGUCAAAGGGCAAAUCUGGCAGUCUCAGAAGAAGGAUCCUCACUCGCAACCCAAGAAGAAUCAAAGAAAAGAACAGAAAGCACAGGUGAUAAGGAUCAUGAGGAUUGUAGUUACGGCAACUUUGCUCACUUUGUAUCUACAGAUAAAGGAGAGGCAAACGGGGAAGAGGCUUGGGACUGGAACCAGGUGUAAUGGGCUAUGGUACAUGGAUCGCAAGGUGCCAAAUAAUGCGGUGUCUACGAUGUUAGCAACAAUGAUGGGAGAAAAGGAAACAAAGGUAAUGCUUCACCAUUGUAGAAUGGGACAUAUGUCUUUUGAGAAGAUGAGUAAAGUCUUUCCCGAUGUAAUGUGUGGGGUGGAUAAGAACAAGCUUGUGUGUGAUGCAUGUGAGUUUGCUAAACACACAAGGACAUCUUAUGUGAGUAAGGGUCUUAGGAGUAUUUCCCCUUUUAUGCUUGUUCACUCAGAUGUGUGGACAUGUCCUGUUAUCUCUCUAAGUGGAAUGAAGUACUUUGUUACAUUCAUUGAUUGCUA